CCUACGGGUGGCAGCAGUCGAGAAUCAUUCACAAUGGGGGAAACCCUGAUGGUGCGACGCCGCGUGGGGGAAUGAAGGUCUUCGGAUUGUAAACCCCUGUCAUGUGGGAGCAAAUUAAAAAGAUAGUACCACAAGAGGAAGAGACGGCUAACUCUGUGCCAGCAGCCGCGGUAAUACAGAGGUCUCAAGCGUUGUUCGGAAUCACUGGGCGUAAAGGGUGCGUAGGCUGUUUCGUAAGUCGUGUGUGAAAGGCGCGGGCUCAACCCGCGGACGGCGCAUGAUACUGCGAGACUAGAGUAAUGGGGGGGGAACCGGAAUUCUCGGUGUAGCAGUGAAUUGCGUAGAUAUCGAGAGGAACACUCGUGGCGAGGGCGGGUUCCUGGACAUUAACUGACGCUGAGGCACGAAGGCCAGGGGAGCGAAAGGGAUUGGAUACCCUUGUAGUC
rnacentral:rRNA from 1 species